rfam:Desulfotomaculum nigrificans CO-1-SRB chromosome, complete genome.
GGGACUAUAGCUCAGCCGGUCAGAGCGCACGCCUGAUAAGCGUGAGGUCGGUGGUUCGAGUCCACCUAGUCCCA